UUUUCGGAACGUCUUCUUCCCCGUUGGCCGGUAUUAUCUAUAAUUGCGAAAAAACUGACAAUGAACAGAGUUUUUUCUGGUUUAUGCUAAUCAUCAGCAAUCAUUUGGACGUAGGAGAGCAGGCUGCAAAGCGUGUUUUCGAAUUCAUCAAAGUAGAACCGUAUGAACGUAUGGGUCGGUUAUCUGAGCUGGUUCAAAACUGUCUCAUGCCAUCUUAUAUGUCUACCGUCCGCUCAUAUAAGAAGUAACAUUACUUCUUCAUCAGUCGCAUUUGUAAUGCAUACAUGAUUAAAAGAUUCCCAUGGGUACUCAUCGGAAGUGGUCGAGGAAUGGAAAUUCUGAGAAAUUCUUCAAAAGUUGGGAUCAAAUUAACUUUCUUUUUGCAUUCCAUUUAACAUAUAUCUCAAUUCUGGACGCAAUAUCGCUAUUAUGUAAAUCCUCUUUUUCUUCCCACCACCAAAAUUGCUGCCCUUACCAUCUAUGUACAUUGAACCGACUAAUCAACUCACUUUUCAGUGCUUUCGCGAAGUAUUCGCAUGAGCAGGAUUUUGUAGGUCAAAUGAUUAUGGCUCCUCUAUAUUAUCAAAAAAAUUCAACUUUGUUUAUGCUCCUACUCCGAGCCUGUUAGGAAACUCCGGGCACGGAGGGAAUUACCCUUCUUGCCCUUCCCGUCAGCGGUGGUGAUAGUAAAUCUCAAACUGGAGAGAAACUGGCAAGCGUUGCCUGUUAUUCUCUAGUGAACUAGACGUAAUAACAACCAGUUUUUUUACCUGUGUUAAGUUCCUAGAAAUUAGAUUACUGGGGAGACAGGCACCGAAAAAUGGAAGGAUAUUUUCCGACACUUUACUGUAAGAAAGAUGUUGUGCAGCAUCGCUAAGAAGCACGGAAAAAAAAUGAAGGAGCAAUGAAACUUCCCCUGCCAGUUAUUAUCAAUAUUGGGUCUGUUUGAUAUAAUGGAGAUUCGAGAUGAAUUUCCUGAAUAAAAAUUCUUAUACCCGGACUACUUAUGAAGAAACCCCGUUUUAGCGUUAGCAUCUUUUUGUGCUUUGAAGAUAGAAAUUUCUAAACUAUGCACCAUAUCAAACAGACCUAACAUUAUUCUAUAAAACAGAAAUAAACACAUACACAUAUUUUAAUUGCAUACUUUCAAGUCAAAGUAGACCUUUUAGAUUUUGUUAAAUGCCAACUUGGUUAAAUAAUUUUUGAGUGUUUAUCAAUAAUCAAAUAAGACCUAUAACAACAAAUUAUCCAAAAAGAAAAGAAAAAAAACGUUAUGAUGAUAAAUUCGUAGAAUUUUUCUAGAGAACAAAUAAAAAUGAUAAAAAAGGAUGAGAAAGGUUGAGCAAAAGAAUUUUGAAUAGUGAUGAUAAAAACUAUGAGGUAAUGUCUUAUCUGUAAGUCAAAUUCAGUAAAGUGAGAAGUGUUUAUUGAAUAAAAUACAAACAAAGAAUUAAUAAAAUGGAAUAUGUUAAAAUACUUCA